CCGGCCCAGCACAGCUCCCGGCUCUGCCCCUCCGCAGCCUCAAACAGAAGUGAGUAGGGGAUGAUGGGAAACUCCUGGCUAUUCCACCCCCAAACUCCUGUCAAGAUUCAGUCUUGGGAACAGAGGACUCCAUUCUGCAGCAUCUGAGGAGGUGCAUUCCUGUCCCCCUCAGCAGGACUUGUGCUGCUGUGCCUAGCCAUCUGUUGGAGCUGUACCACUCUUCCCCAGGAUACUCAUCCCUGAAGGCUGCCCUGUGGAGAAUUAGCUAGGAAAUAGGAGAAGCUACCCAUCACAGGAAAAAAAAUCCUCAGAAAGUGGUGGGAAAACUGGAGGAUAAUAGCAGCUUCUAUUACCAAGUACAAUGGAAGUUCCUGUACAAAUACUCUACGGCAAUGGGAAUGGGAAGAAGGAAAGAGAACAGUAAAAGUGAAUUCUAACCUCUGAUGCCAGGAAAUGACUCAAUAAAUCAACAGUACUUUGAUCUACAGAAUUAUGGGAUUUCUCUUCACGAUAAGGAAAAAAUCCAGACAGACCUCUUCAGUGUCUAUAAAAGUCUGUAAAUGACCACAGUCUGCAGUUGGAAAAGCCUGAUGACUGGCAAGAGACCCAGUGAGGACUGAAUAAUCAAGCUGUGCUAUUAAAAGGUUGUAUCUUCAUAAAGACCUGCAUUUAUGAAGAUUCAGCGUGCCUGCAAUACUUUGGAUGAAGAAGGGUGGGUUGACAUGCCUGAUGAGACUGGAGUGGAUUCAGAAAGGCAGAGCUAUAUCCUCAAAAAUUCACAGUGGCAGUAAUGGUAGCUGAGGUGAGGACCUGCCCCUCUCUAUGUCAAUGGAUGCUCUUUGUGAUUCUUCAUCCCAGCGAUUUGACAUCCUGUGAGUUACAUCCCAGUGAGGGAUGGAAAUUAAGUGGAAGCAACAAACACAGGAGUUCAUAUGGAUGCUAACAUUCCUUCUUUUACCAUUGUUCUAAUCCACAGACUCUAAAACAAAACACAAUUAUGCAGUAUCUGUUUGGCAAGCAAAUUCUAUUUCCUUAUGACCAGAAUAAGUACUGGCUUACCUCUCUGUUGUCUACUUGGUAAUUACAACCUGCCUUCUCCAGGUCAACCUGUUGGGGGUGAAAUUCUAAAAGUUUUCUUCCUUCUUCAGCCUCAAACUUUUUUUAAAAAAAAUUUUCCUCCCCUGCAGUCAAAAAGACCCGUGUGUACACUGUGGGAGAAGUGCUUACAGGCAAAACUUGUCUUCACUUGGAAAAGUCUUUACCAACCAUUUUUAACAUUUAAAAAUACUUUUUUGUGUUCUUUACUAUGUUAGUCCUCAUAACUCCCUGUAAAAAAUAAUUAUAGAAAAAAAUAAAAAAAAUUGAAAUAUCUACAUUCUCAACAAAAAUUGAUAUCUUUUGAUUUCUCAUGAUGAUGUAUUUUGCUAGAAUACUUCUGAAGGACUUGGUAAUGCAUCCAUAUUAUCCACAUUGUCUCACUGUUUCCUUAUGACAUGUCAGCUUUAUGUUUUCACUCAUUCUUUCAUAUUGUACUAGGCCCAUAAAUUUUCUGAAGCAUGAAUUGUCUUUCCGUUCUGUGUCUGUAAAAUGCGUAACCAUAGGUUUGUGGGCAACAAAUGUUGUACAGAUAUGAUAAUAGUGAUGGGAGCAGCAAAAAACAAAAAAACAACAAAAAAAACGAUCUUAGAUGUGGUGAUUUUGGAGCUGGUUCUAGGUCAUGCUGCUAAUUAUGCUGCUGACAGAUAGGUAAAGAAUAAGAGUUGCUAACCACACGUAUAAACAGGAACAGCACUUUUGCAGCUGGAAUCUAUACACUGGAUGUUUCUGUAGCAAGUCAGAAUCUGAUGAGGGUAUUUUUGUCUAUGAGGAAAGAGUGGUGAGAUUCCUCAGCAAGUGGUAAUAUUGGUGCUGAAGUGAUAGACUUUUGAUUGGCAGUGAAGAUGUCAAGAAAUUUUCCAUUUCUAGGUGCUUUCAUGAUGUACAGCUAAAUGGAACUGCAUAUGAAGCUAUGAUCAUUAAACACAUAAUAGACACAUUAUCUUGCUAGGUCUUGCUAGAAAAACAGCAGGAUGAUGAACAAUGUAUUGAAUUUCAUUAGAAUAAAAAUUGUUUAGGGGCCACCAUACCAUAUAGCAUUCCUUCAGUGAUAUGACUGCACCUGAUUAAAGUAGUCUUGAUUGCUUGAAUGUGAGAGUAGGGGACUGUUGGAUUAUUGUAGUCUUUUUGCAUGAGAUAAAAAGAGAUUAUUUAUCUUUGAAAUUAUCCAAAAUUCAUUAAUAAUGUACUUUAAAAUAUUAUUCUUAAAAAUGUUGUCAUUUUUAAAAUAUUCUUCAAAUGUUGUCAUUCACAGUGGUAAAUCCAUGUUCUUAGUGUACCC
ensembl:lncRNA